rnacentral:rRNA from 1 species
GAUGAACGCUGGCGGCGUGCCUAAUACAUGCAAGUCGAGCGAACAGACGAGGAGCUUGCUCCUCUGACGUUAGCGGCGGACGGGUGAGUAACACGUGGAUAACCUACCUAUAAGACUGGGAUAACUUCGGGAAACCGGAGCUAAUACCGGAUAACAUGUUGAACCGCAUGGUUCAACAGUGAAAGACGGUCUUGCUGUCACUUAUAGAUGGAUCCGCGCCGCAUUAGCUAGUUGGUAAGGUAACGGCUUACCAAGGCAACGAUGCGUAGCCGACCUGAGAGGGUGAUCGGCCACACUGGAACUGAGACACGGUCCAGACUACUACGGGAGGCAGCAGUAGGGAAUAUUCCGCAAUGGGCGAAAGCCUGACGGAGCAACGCCGCGUGAGUGAAGAAGGUCUUCGGAUCGUAAAACUCUGUUAUUAGGGAAGAACAAAUGUGUAAGUAACUAUGCACGUCUUGACGGUAACUAAUCAGAAAGCCACGGCUAACUACGUG